rnacentral:rRNA from 1 species
GCUCGAUGAAUAGCACAGUCUUUAUGUUGGCGACACGUCAUCCAAGUACAUGUCCUAUCAACUUUCAAUGGUGGGAUAAUGGCCUUGGUGGUGACAAGUGACGAGUGACUGCGAAUUAGGGUUCAAUUCCAUAGAGAGAGCCUAAGAAACGGCUAGCGCAUCUAAUGAAAACAACAUGCGCGGAAAUUAUCGAUCCUGACAAAAGGAUUGGUGACAAUAAGUAGCAAUAUCAGGCUCUAGCAGUUUGAUAAUUAGAAUGAAUACAGUCUAAUAAGUCCCUUAAUGAGGAUCCAUAAUAGGGAAAAUCUGGUGUCAGCAGUCACGAUAAUUCAAGCUCUAAUUAAUAGCAUAUAUUUCAGUUGUCGAAGUUAAAAAACUCAUAGUAGGACUUUGGGUUGGGUCGGUUCGCCUUUAGGUGCGCAUCGGGAGGCUGGUCCUUUCUACCAAAGGUACAGUCUUGCUCUACAUUAGCCAGGUCGUGUCUAUGGUGCUGUUGCUUUGAAGAAAUUAGAGUGUUUAAAGCAAGCCUACAUUCUGAAUAUAUUAGCAUGGGAUAACAUCAUAUAAUUUUAGUCAUGUUUUGUUGGCCUUUGGUAUCAAAGUAAUGAUUGACAGGCCAGUCGGGGCAUUCAUAUUGCAUAGUAGAGGUAAAAUUCUUGGAUGUAUGUAAGACGAACAACUUCUAAAUCAUUUGCCUUGGAUGUUUUCAUUAAGCAAGAAUGAAAGUUGGGAGCUCGAAGACGAUCAGAUAUAAACACAAUCUCAACCAUAAAUGAUGUCGAUCAGAGAUUGACGGAUGUUACGUUUAGAACUCCGCUGACACUUUAUGAUAAAUCAAAGUUUUUGUGUUCCAAUAAGGAGAGUAUGGUCACAAGGUUGAAACUUAAAGAAAUUGACUUAAGGGCAUCACCAUGAGUGGACCUUGCAACAAUUUUUGACUCAACACGUGAAAACUUACCAGGUCAGACAUAGUAAGGAUUAAUAGACUGGGAGUUAUUUCUUCAUUUUAUGGGUCGUGAUGUAUGAUCGUUCGUAGAUGAUGGAGCGAUUUGUCUGGUUAAUUUUGUUCAUGAAUGAGACCUUUAAUAUCUUAUGUUAAUUUUGUUCACAUCAAAAUUACACAAACCAUCCAUUUGUUUAUGUGGGCUUGUGAACUCAAUCAAAUGAUGAGAAUGAAGUCGAGAGUUGUUUAUGUAUCUCAAGAAAACCCUAACAAGGCAAUAUAUAGUAACUCGUCUCAUAACAUCCCACUUAAAGGUUCUUCAGAUGGAUAGUCGGGAACUUAUAUGUAUAGAAAUCACACUUCAAGUUUGUUAGAUAAAGUUUCCUCUCUUAUUUCCUAUGCACCGACUCACCUCCACCUUCACCUUCCUCUUAUCGCUUGGUCGACUGCUACCGGCUCUGCCGCUGCGUUUCGGUCCGGAUGAAGAUGUUGUAGCCUCUAUCCCUUGUCCCUCCUCAAAAGGCCU